UACGUAGGGGGCAAGCGUUGUCCGGAAUUAUUGGGCGUAAAGCGCGCGCAGGCGGCUAUUUAAGUCUGGUGUUUAAGGCUAGGGCUCAACCCUGGUUCGCACUGGAAACUGGAUGGCUUGAGUGCAGAAGAGGAGAGUGGAAUUCCACGUGUAGCGGUGAAAUGCGUAGAUAUGUGGAGGAACACCAGUGGCGAAGGCGACUCUCUGGGCUGUAACUGACGCUGAGGCGCGAAAGCGUGGGGAGCAAACAGG
rnacentral:rRNA from 1 species